rnacentral:rRNA from 1 species
CUUUGACGCACAUUCGCGCCUCGGCCUUCCCGUGGCUUCGUCUGUGUGAGGUCGG